AUGCAAGUCGAGGGGUAUUGGUUUUCGGACCAAGAGACCGGCGCACGGGUGCGUAACGCGUAUGCAAUCUACCUUUUGCAGAGGGAUAGCCCAGAGAAAUUUGGAUUAAUACCUCAUAGUAUAGCAGUUUCGCAUGAAACCACUAUUAAAGUCACAACGGCAAAAGAUGAGCAUGCGUCCCAUUAGCUAGUUGGUAAGGUAACGGCUUACCAAGGCUACGAUGGGUAGGGGUCCUGAGAGGGAGAUCCCCCACACUGGUACUGAGACACGGACCAGACUCCUACGGGAGGCAGCAGUGAGGAAUAUUGGACAAUGGGCGCAAGCCUGAUCCAGCCAUGCCGCGUGCAGGAUGACGGUCCUAUGGAUUGUAAACUACUUUUGUACAGGAAGAAACACUCCCUCGUGAGGGAGCUUGACGGUACUGUAAGAAUAAGGAUCGGCUAACUCCGUGCCAGCAGCCGCGGUAAUACGGAGGAUCCAAGCGUUAUCCGGAAUCAUUGGGUUUAAAGGGUCCGUAGGCGGUUUAGUAAGUCAGUGGUGAAAGCCCAUCGCUCAACGGUGGAACGGCCAUUGAUACUGCUAGACUUGAAUUAUUAGGAAGUAACUAGAAUAUGUAGUGUAGCGGUGAAAUGCUUAGAGAUUACAUGGAAUACCAAUUGCGAAGGCAGGUUACUACUAAUGGAUUGACGCUGAUGGACGAAAGCGUGGGUAGCGAACAGGAUUAGAUACCCUGGUAGUCCACGCCGUAAACGAUGGAUACUAGCUGUUGGGAGCAAUCUCAGUGGCUAAGCGAAAGUGAUAAGUAUCCCACCUGGGGAGUACGUUCGCAAGAAUGAAACUCAAAGGAGUUGACGGGGGCCCGCACAAGCGGUGGAGCAUGUGGUUUAAUUCGAUGAUACGCGAGG
rnacentral:rRNA from 1 species